rnacentral:rRNA from 1 species
UGGGGAAUUUUGGACAAUGGGGGCAACCCUGAUCCAGCAAUGCCGCGUGAGUGAAGAAGGCCUUCGGGUUGUAAAGCUCUUUUGUCAGGGAAGAAACGGUAGUAGCGAAUAACUAUUACUAAUGACGGUACCUGAAGAAUAAGCACCGGCUAACUACGUGCCAGCAGCCGCGGUAAUACGUAGGGUGCAAGCGUUAAUCGGAAUUACUGGGCGUAAAGCGUGCGCAGGCGGUUGUGUAAGUCAGAUGUGAAAUCCCCGGGCUCAACCUGGGAAUUGCAUUUGAGACUGCACGGCUAGAGUGUGUCAGAGGGGGGUAGAAUUCCACGUGUAGCAGUGAAAUGCGUAGAUAU